AAGGCGUCAACUGUUACCGUCAUUUCACUUUCGCUUCAACACGAUGCGCCGCAGCGGAUCCUGUUCAAAACUCUCGUCUUGGAUUUUAUGCUCCUGGUUUAAAUCGUCCCUGCUGGGCUGCAGAUGUUGGCAUUUGGUUGUGUGGGAUGAUAAUCACUGGGAUCUACAGCCGCAGCUGCUGGGAAUGUAAAGCAGCUGCAGAUGAAAUUGGGGCCAAAGUAAAAGUGAAAGCGUCUGUUUUCUUCAAGGCUCUGAAUCUUUGUUCGUUUCGCUGAAGCUCUGAGGAUUUUAAUUCACUGAAACCGAACAAUGUGAUGGAUUUAAGGACAGCAGUCUGUAAAGCAUCAGAUCGCUGGGAGAAAAAAGGAAGAAGAGGAGACGGAGACGGAUUGUGGGCAUCUUGCAUCUCUGGCAUUAUGCACCAUCAGCAGAAAUAACAGACCUUUUGGACAUAUAGAAAGUUUCACAUGUUUUUUUGUGGUUCUUGUUGUUCACUGUGGAUUUUUGUGUCACGAUAGUUUAGUCCAAGUAUUCGUACAUUUUAAACCUUUUUACAUUGCGUCUCUUUGCACAGAUUGUAGCCUAAAAUGCCUCAUAAUUGUGAAAUGAAAGGAAUAUAGUUUAUGUAUUUAUUUAUCCUCACUUAAAGAGUAAUAAACAAAACAAAAAUAAAAGAUCAGAACACAAAGGUUACAGUGUGUGUGAUCAGCUGAUUGGUUUAAGUUCAAAUAGCUCAUUUUGUUCUCAGCCAGGUGUGGCCAACUCUUGUUCCUUUGUGUCCUGCUUUGCCUGAUUCGACACACCUGAAUUAAAUGAACGAUUGUCCUGAAGGCUUCAGAAAUUCAUCCUUUCAAUAAUUACUUAAAGCUCCAUCCAGGUAUUUGUGGAUACACCUAAAAUAUUUAACAUAGCAACUUUCAUGGGCUGAAUGUGGCCAACCAGAGCGAAUCCCCACAGCAUAAUGCUGCCAACAUCAUGCUUCACCACAGAGUGAACAGAUUCUCCAACUUGUUCACAGUUAAGCUGGUCUAUCAGUAGAUCUAAUUUCAUGUUAUGUAAGUUGACCUGGUGUUUUAAUAAAGGACUUCACCCUCAUUGGAAGUGAUUCAUGUCAAGCUUCACACUUGUUCUUCAAAUGGUUAAUGAUUGAACUGAUUAUAUAUUUACUCUACUACAAUUAAAAUGCUUCUGACUUUUAUUAAGGUGCAAAUUUCAAAGUGUGAUCUACGUCACGUACGGCCAUUUAUUUCUUACACAAUGGAUACUGCAGCAGUUAAUACCAAAGAAAUAAUUUCUCAUCAAAUGUUUGUCAAGCUUCCACAGCGACACAUUUAAGAUAAAGUUUUUCUUUAUCUUACUAGAUGUACACUGAAUAAAAGAUGUUAAAACAUU